AGCAGGGUUUUGUUUUGUUUUUACUCUUUAAAUACUCUUUUACUUUUUCAGACAAGAAAGUUUGGUUGUGGAGGAUAUAACAUUAAUCAGGUAAAAGAAUUCCCCUAAGAUGACUUGUAAAAUCCCUUUCGACUCAAAUAUAUCACUUUUUUUUUUCUAGGUAGAAAUUGCCUUCAUUUCAGGAAGACCCUUCACUCCCCAAACAAUUUGAAAUGUUGGUUCAGGCUCUGGGAAUUCCAAUGACCUACAGACUAUGGGAUACUGAGAAACCCUUGGCAAGGAUUUUUCAGUGAUGGCUCUAGAGGAUUCAACAGGUGCACAAUUUUGACCUUACACAGUUAUGACAUGAUUUCUUUCAAGUCUUGAAGCAUUACUGCACAGUUAGUAGAAGUGUAAAAGAGAAUCCUAGGAAAUCAGAAACUGGGAAAAGAAAAGUUAGAACAAAAAAAUAUUUCAUUUGGUUAUUCAGAAAGAAGCAAGGAACUCUAUCCUUUCAGGUCUUCGGUCAUUCACCUUGAAAUGAUCAGUGCCUGAACUAAGGUUAUCUUUAUUUUCUGCUCUUUGGAGUGAUUUUCAGGGUCAUAUUUGUUGAUUUUGAGGAUGGUUUGUUCUGACCUGGUGUUUAUUGAGGUCCUGAGAUGCAAAUUGAGAGUAGGUAGAAUGGUGCUAGUGGGAAUGUUUGCUAAGGUAGGUUUUCAGUCUAAAUCAUCCAGGGAACUUUCAUAGGUUAUCUUGUUUUCCUUUUCUUUUUUCUUUUUUUUGGUUCUAUUUAACCAGGGAGAUUAAAGCAUAGAGUAACCCAGCGACUGUGUGGAAAAGAGGUGAGAUUAUCUUCUUGGAUGGCCUUAAUUAACUUCAUCAUUAAAUACACCUUGUGCUUCCCUAAACAAAUGUGGGCAAAGCUUUUGUCUUUCCUUUGGUUCAGUGUAUAGUCCUGGAAACUGGACUUGUGUUCCAUUGUUGUUGUUGAGGGCUACUCAGUAGGUCUGUGGAUAGAGUGCUGGGCCUGGAACCAGGAAAACUAAUCUUUCCAAGAGUUCAAAUCUGGCUUGUGACACUUAUUAUCUGUGUGACUUUAGGCAAGUCACUUAAUCCUGUUUGCCUCACUUCCUCAUUUGUAAAAUAAACUCGUUAAGAAAAUAGCAAACUAUUCUAGUAUUUGCCAAGAAAAUCCCAAAAGAAGUCACGAAGAAUUGGACAUAACUGAACAACAACAAACCCCUGGAAACUGGCCUGUAUCUUCCUAAGUGAUUCAAUUAAUCAACUAAAUAUAUGUGUGCUUAUUAGCACCCAAUAGGGUUUUUUUGGUGCAGUUUUUCUAGAAAGAUAGAAUUGGUCUCUGCUUUCUGAGGAGUUUAUAAUCCCACUGAGUAAAACAAUUAUUAGAGAACAAUAUAGUGUGAUAUAAGCAGGUGUUUAACUGUGUGAAGGCUUCAGAGUCCCAAGAAGGAAAACUUUAGGGAGGGCUGUUGUUUGUCCCUUGUUUUUCAGAAGGACCGAUGACAUCAUGGGAUGCUGUCCUGACCUGUGCAUGAAUUGAAUUUAUGUGAGAAGCCAUUGUGCAAAGACAUCAGUCUCACUCUUGCUUUCAGAAUCAUCAAAGUCCAAAAGCCCUGAAUCUGAGGAUGGCAUCCUCUAUGAAUACUACUAAAAGACAAAGCAGGAAGAAUCCAUACUCGUUAUCUGAACAGCUCACUCCUUUGUUUUGGUUGUCAGCUGUAUGUUCCAGACAAUUCCUCCAGACUAAGCAUAAAGCCCUCCACUUUAAAAGUGUCCAGUCUGCAAGACCACCAGGUGUGAAACUGCUCCCUACGGACCCACACAAGACGGAUACAGACAGUUACCUUUCGAAGAGCAGUCGGCAGAAUUGCUGAACUAAUUAAGAGAAACCAGUCAUAGUGUGACUAUGUUGCUAGUGAUCAAAGCCAGAGCAGGGCUGACCCA